rnacentral:tRNA from 1 species
CCUCCUUUCAAGGAAGUCUAUAUUUUGAGGCUCACACUUCAAACUAUGGGCGUACCUUUAAAUCUUAUAAUAAAACAAACCCCCUAAGGCUAUUAUGCCCACCGUCCACGUAUCCCUUCAUUUUAGGAAAGGCCUCAUAUGGGGAUCAGGCGCUGGAAAUAGGAUAAUACGGGGCCGUAGCUCAGUUGGGAGAGCGGUAGCUUUGCAAGCUUCAGGUCGUCGGUUCGAUCCCGUCCGGCUCCACCAAAUUUUAACAAAGAUCUGAUGGCGAGUAGCAGGUUCCCAAAAAAGGGGCCUGUAGCUCAGUUGGUUAGAGCGCACGCCUGAUAAGCGUGAGGUCGGUAGUUCAAAUCUACCCAGGCCCACCAUUCUUUCCUAAUGAAGUAAUUAAUUAGUCGCUUUGCGGCAUUUGGCGGUUUGUGAUUCUGAAUAUGUUUUGAAACUUUUAUUGGUUUUGUCAGGUUAGACUUGCACGA